UACGAAGGGGGCUAGCGUUGCUCGGAAUCACUGGGCGUAAAGGGUGCGUAGGCGGGUCUUUAAGUCAGGGGUGAAAUCCUGGAGCUCAACUCCAGAACUGCCUUUGAUAUUGAGGAUCUUGAGUUCGGGAGAGGUGAGUGGAACUGCGAGUGUAGAGGUGAAAUUCGUAGAUAUUCGCAAGAACACCAGUGGCGAAGGCGGCUCACUGGCCCGAUACUGACGCUGAGGUACGAAAGCGUGGGGAGCAAACAGG
rnacentral:rRNA from 1 species